CUCACCUCAUUUGCUCACUUUGUAUAUAGACUUAUUUUCCUACUAUAUUAUUGACUGUAUGUUUGUUUUACUCCAUGUGUAACUCUGUGUUGUUGUAUGUGUCAAAAGGCUUGCUUUAUCUUGGCCAGGUCGCAAUUGUAAAUGAGAACUUGUUCUCAACUUGCCUAGCUGGUUAAAUAAUAUAGCUGGUUAAAUAUAUAUAUAUGCAUAUUUACAAUACAAAUACAUAAAUACUUCAAGAGUUGAGCAGUUUGAUAGACGUUGGCACCAAACUAGAAGCUGCUUAGGUUUAUAUGGGAGAGCUGUAUAGCUGGCCCUGGUGGCUCACCUUGCCUUGCACCUACUACUAUUGUCUCUGCAAGGAUGUAGGAUCAGGCCCUUUGGCUGAGUAGAGGUCAGAGGACACAAUCCUAUGUGCACACAAGUGGGUUUAAAGUGCCCCCUCCUUUCACAGAGGAAGAAAAGAGACCCUCCCCUCAGCAUAUAGCAUCAAUUCCAGCAGCUUCCCAAGGGACCAAGUUCUUUCUCUUGCAUCCGGGUGCUGUUCCUCUCGCUCUCUUGCUCUCUCUCACUUUCUCACAGACAAACACACACAGCCUAAUGUAACCAAUCACAACAGAGCUUGAUGAGUAACCCCAGCCUUUCGUAAGCCCUCCUGGCAGUGACUGAGACCUGUGACUUCCCCAGUACACGUGAACCCAUUGGGAGAGAAUAGGCUUUGCACAUGUAAUCCUUGUCUCUAUGUUUAUUUUUGGUGCCUAGACUCUUUCCUUCAGUGGGGAGAAUGUGUGCACGCAAAAGGCCUGAUGAAUCUGCACUGUGUGUGGGAGUGUGUGUGUGUGUGUGUGUGUGUGUGUGUGUGUGUGUGUGUGUGUGUGUGUGUGUGUGUGUGUGUGUGUGUGUGUGUGUGAUUUAUACCAUUUAUAUGUACUGUAAUGACAAUCUAACUAUUGUGGGAAGGGAUUCAAAUGAAAUAUCUCAGUAUUCAUGUAGUAUUGAAAAGCACAUUUCAAGUACUCCUGAUAAUCUGGUAAUACAAAUAUAGAUCAUUUUAACAAAAUGAAAGGGUGCAGGAACAAUAGUUAUAUUUUUUCCCAUAGUGCACGUUUCUCACAAUAUGCAACGUGGUCAUGAUUGAAUCUUGCCCAACAAGUAUUAUUAUGUUACUGUAUAUUUUUUAUUACACAGAUUACACUCUGAAUAUUUUCCCACAUCAUCACCUUAGUUUUCAACACAAACAAUUAAAAUCAGACUAGUGUCAGUGGUAUUUCUCUGAAAUUCUAUCCUCCAUUAUGAGUGUUUUGUCAAAGUAACGCCCACAAACCAUAUAGAACCAGUUGAUGGCUUGACAAUGCCUCUUUUGUCAUUGGAUAAUUUGAUCAAUAAUCAUAGUAUGCACCUUCUUUUUUUUCUCUCGAAGAGCUACUGUUUUCAGAAAUAUAUACAUUUCUGAAGAUUCCUAUUGUGGAUCUGAAAAUCUAUGUGUUAUGCACUUAUUAUCAUAGUAAUUGAAAUAUACUUUAUGCACUUUGUCUAUUUAUGAUUUAUCAGUGGGUUUCACAGUAACAGUAUUUUGAAUUGUUUUAUUUCUAAAUUAAAUGUAAUUCUUUUCUUUAAGGCCCAGUGAAGUCACCAUGCGGUAAAUUGGUUAAUAGACCAAUAACAAAGAGAGCUCCAAACCUCUGCCAAUAACAGCUAGUUUUCUGUGUUACCCUCCCCACUCAGACCACUCCCAGACAGUCCUAGCAAAAUUCUUGCUUGAGAAAUUGUUUUUUUUGCUAAAAAGCUGUUUUGGUCCAUUUGAAUGGAAAUCUAUUACAAUAAGG
rnacentral:lncRNA from 1 species